rnacentral:rRNA from 1 species
ACGGGAGGCAGCAGUGGGGAAUCUUGCGCAAUGGGCGAAAGCCUGACGCAGCAACGCCGCGUGCGGGAUGACGGCCUUCGGGUUGUAAACCGCUUUCAGUGGGGACGAAAUCAGACGGUACCCACAGAAGAAGCCCCGGCCAACUACGUGCCAGCAGCCGCGGUAACACGUAGGGGGCGAGCGUUGUCCGGAUUCAUUGGGCGUAAAGAGCUCGUAGGCGGCUCAGUAAGUCGGGUGUGAAACCCUCAGGCUCAACCUGGGGACGCCACUCGAUACUGCUGUGGCUAGAGUCCAGUAGAGGAGUGUGGAAUUCCCGGUGUAGCGGUGAAAUGCGCAGAUAUCGGGAGGAACACCAACGGCGAAGGCAGCACUCUGGGCUGGUACUGACGCUGAGGAGCGAAAGCGUGGGUAGCAAACAGGAUUAGAUACCCUGGUA